GAUAGCGGCCACUUCGGUGGUUGAGAUAUGAUCGGCCUCCAGCUGUCACCUAGCUGGGGAGAUUUGCGGAACCUGCGGAAGGAUCAUUAA
rnacentral:rRNA from 1 species